AUGCUGAGACCCCAGACCCAAAUUAACCCCAGAGCCCUCCCGAGUAUGCUGAGACCCCAGACCCAAAUUAACCCCAGAGCCCUCCCGAGUAUGCUGAGACCCCAGACCCAAAUUAACCCCAGAGCCCUCCCGAGUAUGCUGAGACCCCAGACCCAAAUUAACCCCAGAGCCCUCCCGAGUAUGCUGAGACCCCAGACCCAAAUUAACCCCAGAGCCCUCCCGAGUAUGCUGAGACCCCAGACCCAAAUUAACCCCAGAGCCCUCCCGAGUAUGCUGAGACCCCAGACCCAAAUUAACCCCAGAGCCCUCCCGAGUAUGCUGAGACCCCAGACCCAAAUUAACCCCAGAGCCCUCCCGAGUAUGCUGAGACCCCAGACCCAAAUUAACCCCAGAGCCCUCCCGAGUAUGCUGAGACCCCAGACCCAAAUUAACCCCAGAGCCCUCCCGAGUAUGCUGAGACCCCAGACCCAAAUUAACCCCAGAGCCCUCCCGAGUAUGCUGAGACCCCAGACCCAAAUUAACCCCAGAGCCCUCCCGAGUAUGCUGAGACCCCAGACCCAAAUUAACCCCAGAGCCCUCCCGAGUAUGCUGAGACCCCAGACCCAAAUUAACCCCAGAGCCCUCCCGAGUAUGCUGAGACCCCAGACCCAAAUUAACCCCAGAGCCCUCCCGAGUAUGCUGAGACCCCAGACCCAAAUUAACCCCAGAGCCCUCCCGAGUAUGCUGAGACCCCAGACCCAAAUUAACCCCAGAGCCCUCCCGAGUAUGCUGAGACCCCAGACCCAAAUUAACCCCAGAGCCCUCCCGAGUAUGCUGAGACCCCAGACCCAAAUUAACCCCAGAGCCCUCCCGAGUAUGCUGAGACCCCAGACCCAAAUUAACCCCAGAGCCCUCCCGAGUAUGCUGAGACCCCAGACCCAAAUUAACCCCAGAGCCCUCCCGAGUAUGCUGAGACCCCAGACCCAAAUUAACCCCAGAGCCCUCCCGAGUAUGCUGAGACCCCAGACCCAAAUUAACCCCAGAGCCCUCCCGAGUAUGCUGAGACCCCAGACCCAAAUUAACCCCAGAGCCCUCCCGAGUAUGCUGAGACCCCAGACCCAAAUUAACCCCAGAGCCCUCCCGAGUAUGCUGAGACCCCAGACCCAAAUUAACCCCAGAGCCCUCCCGAGUAUGCUGAGACCCCAGACCCAAAUUAACCCCAGAGCCCUCCCGAGUAUGCUGAGACCCCAGACCCAAAUUAACCCCAGAGCCCUCCCGAGUAUGCUGAGACCCCAGACCCAAAUUAACCCCAGAGCCCUCCCGAGUAUGCUGAGACCCCAGACCCAAAUUAACCCCAGAGCCCUCCCGAGUAUGCUGAGACCCCAGACCCAAAUUAACCCCAGAGCCCUCCCGAGUAUGCUGAGACCCCAGACCCAAAUUAACCCCAGAGCCCUCCCGAGUAUGCUGAGACCCCAGACCCAAAUUAACCCCAGAGCCCUCCCGAGUAUGCUGAGACCCCAGACCCAAAUUAACCCCAGAGCCCUCCCGAGUAUGCUGAGACCCCAGACCCAAAUUAACCCCAGAGCCCUCCCGAGUAUGCUGAGACCCCAGACCCAAAUUAACCCCAGAGCCCUCCCGAGUAUGCUGAGACCCCAGACCCAAAUUAACCCCAGAGCCCUCCCGAGUAUGCUGAGACCCCAGACCCAAAUUAACCCCAGAGCCCUCCCGAGUAUGCUGAGACCCCAGACCCAAAUUAACCCCAGAGCCCUCCCGAGUAUGCUGAGACCCCAGACCCAAAUUAACCCCAGAGCCCUCCCGAGUAUGCUGAGACCCCAGACCCAAAUUAACCCCAGAGCCCUCCCGAGUAUGCUGAGACCCCAGACCCAAAUUAACCCCAGAGCCCUCCCGAGUAUGCUGAGACCCCAGACCCAAAUUAACCCCAGAGCCCUCCCGAGUAUGCUGAGACCCCAGACCCAAAUUAACCCCAGAGCCCUCCCGAGUAUGCUGAGACCCCAGACCCAAAUUAACCCCAGAGCCCUCCCGAGUAUGCUGAGACCCCAGACCCAAAUUAACCCCAGAGCCCUCCCGAGUAUGCUGAGACCCCAGACCCAAAUUAACCCCAGAGCCCUCCCGAGUAUGCUGAGACCCCAGACCCAAAUUAACCCCAGAGCCCUCCCGAGUAUGCUGAGACCCCAGACCCAAAUUAACCCCAGAGCCCUCCCGAGUAUGCUGAGACCCCAGACCCAAAUUAACCCCAGAGCCCUCCCGAGUAUGCUGAGACCCCAGACCCAAAUUAACCCCAGAGCCCUCCCGAGUAUGCUGAGACCCCAGACCCAAAUUAACCCCAGAGCCCUCCCGAGUAUGCUGAGACCCCAGACCCAAAUUAACCCCAGAGCCCUCCCGAGUAUGCUGAGACCCCAGACCCAAAUUAACCCCAGAGCCCUCCCGAGUAUGCUGAGACCCCAGACCCAAAUUAACCCCAGAGCCCUCCCGAGUAUGCUGAGACCCCAGACCCAAAUUAACCCCAGAGCCCUCCCGAGUAUGCUGAGACCCCAGACCCAAAUUAACCCCAGAGCCCUCCCCGAGUAUCCUGAGACCCCAGACCCAAAUUAACCCCAGAGCCCUCCCCGAGUGCCCUGAGACCCCAGACCCAUAUUAACCCCAGAGCCUCUCCCGAGUGCCCUUAGGCUCUAGACCUAAAUUAACCCUAGAUUCAGG
rnacentral:lncRNA from 12 species